AGGUUAUUGACAAAGUGCCCGCAGUGGUGAAAACAGGCAGAUCGUAAAGACGCCGUAAACCCAUCCCUGGGGGCUAGAGCCGCGCCUUCCCUGGCGCGGACGCUUU
rnacentral:ncRNA from 1 species